rnacentral:rRNA from 1 species
UACGUAGGGUGCAAACGUUGUUCGGAAUCACUGGGCAUAAAGGGCGCGUAGGCGGUGCGGUAAGUCACUUGUGAAAUCUCUGAGCUUAACUCAGAACGGCCAAGUGAUACUGCAGUGCUAGAGUGCGGAAGGGGCAAUCGGAAUUCUUGGUGUAGCGGUGAAAUGCGUAGAUAUCAAGAGGAACACCUGAGGUGAAGACGGGUUGCUGGGCCGACACUGACGCUGGAGCGCGAAAGCCAGGGGAGCAAACGGG